UCCGGUUUGGCACCGGCAGUCCCCCGAGAGUCCUCAGCUUAACCUGUUAGCAACACGGGGCGGGGGUUGCGCUCGUUGCGGGACUUAACCCAACAUCUCACGACACGAGCUGACGACAGCCAUGCAGCACCUGUGCACGAGUCCCGAAGGAGGCCCCUGGUUUCUCAGGAGUUUCCCGUGCAUGUCAAGCCUAGGUAAGGUUCUUCGCGUUGCGUCGAAUUAAACCACAUGCUCCACCGCUUGUGCGGGCCCCCGUCAAUUCCUUUGAGUUUCAGCCUUGCGGCCGUACUCCCCAGGCGGGGCACUUCAUGCGUUAGCGCCGGUACCCCGGGGGUCGCUCCCCAGAGCACCUAGUGCCCAUCGUUUAGGGCCGGGACUAC
rnacentral:misc_RNA from 1 species